rnacentral:rRNA from 1 species
AGAACGAACGCUGGCGGCACGCUUAACACAUGCAAGUCGGACGCUUUUGGGGCUUCGGCCUCAAGGGAGUGGCGCACGGGUGAGUAGCGCGUGGGAACCUGCCCAGUAGUGGGGGAUAACCGAGGGAAACUUCGGCUAAUACCGCAUGCGCCCCGGGAGUGAUCUUGGGGGAAAGAUUUAUCGCUAUUGGAGGGGCCCGCGUCGGAUUAGCUAGUUGGUGGGUAACGGCCUACCAAGGCGAUGAUCCGUAGCUGGUCUGAGAGGAUGAUCAGCCACACUGGGACUGAGACACGGCCCAGACUCCUACGGGAGGCAGCAGUGGGGAAUAUUGGACAAUGGGCGCAAGCCUGAUCCAGCAAUGCCGCGUGAGUGAGGAAGGCCUUAGGGUUGUAAAGCUCUUUCGCACGCGACGAUGAUGACGGUAGCGUGAGAAGAAGCCCGGCUAACUUCGUGCCAGCAGCCGC